UACGUAGGGGGCAAGCGUUGUCCGGAUUUAUUGGGCGUAAAGAGCGUGUAGGCGGCCAGGGAGGUCCGUUGUGAAAACUCGAGGCUCAACCUCGAGACGCCGAUGGAAACCCCCUGGCUAGAGUCCGGAAGAGGAGAGUGGAAUUCCUGGUGUAGCGGUGAAAUGCGUAGAUAUCUGGAGGAACACCGGUGGCGAAGGCGACAUCCUGGACCGGUAUUGACGCUGAGGUGCGAAAGCGUGGGGAGCAAACAGG
rnacentral:rRNA from 1 species